rnacentral:lncRNA from 1 species
ACCAACCGCAAAAGCUGCGUUUGCGGGUGGUAGCGGGAAAACCAGUCUUACCCUUGUCAUUAGGGCUUCAUUAGUUGUUAGCGUUCUUCCACACUUCGAGUGUGAUUGGUAACAUCAGAGUAAAGUGGAGUAAAAAAAAGUGGUGAAAAAGAGGAAAAUAAAUGGUGGAAAAAUGUGAGAGAGAAAAGAAUCUGGAAUAACAUGAGUGUACCUAAAGCUAGAGGAAAAAUAGGUGUAUAUUUCC